CAUCACCAAGAGCUCCCUUCCCACCCAUGCUCAGCCUGCCUGGGGAACUCCAGCAGGGAAAGGGGAAGGGUGAGAGGAAGGAGAGCGUAGGGGAGGAGGCGGGGUCAUCAGGGCUCCAUAUCUCAGCCCAAAAACAGAAGCUGCACCCAGAGCAGGCGGACCUGAGGCCCUCACUCUUGGGUGCCCGAGUAGGUGAGAGCUGGGAGUCUGGACACCAGGAGCCAUUAUUCCCCAGGCUCACCCAGCCCCAGUCCCAGGACUGAGAGCCCCAGGGAGCUUAGAGAGAGUCCAGCAUGUGGGGCCACUUGUCCCUGAUGCCUGCCUUCCUUGCUGUGUGGGCUAUCUCCGGCGUCUGGAUCGUGUGAGUGUCAGAGGCACCAUGGACUCC
rnacentral:lncRNA from 1 species